UACGGGGGGGGUAAGCGUUGUUCGGAAUUACUGGGCGUAAAGCGCGUGUAGGCGGCCCUGCAAGUCGGAUGUGAAAUCCCACGGCUCAACCGUGGAAGUGCAUUCGAAACUGCAGGGCUAGAGUCCUGGAGAGGAAGGUGGAAUGCUUGGUGUAGAGGUGAAAUUCGUAGAUAUCAAGCGGAACACCGGUGGCGAAGGCGGCCUUCUGGACAGUGACUGACGCUGAGACGCGAAAGCGUGGGGAGCAAACAGG
rnacentral:rRNA from 1 species